UUGUAAAUAAUUACAAUUACUUAAGUAAUUAUUCAAAUACUGGCCAGCCCUGGGCUGAGACCAGAUAAUGGUAUGAUACAGUACCGUUACUUUCACUUCAUUUUGAAACACAGAUUUGUUCUGAAUAAACUUAAAUAUGAUGUUGCAUUAGAAAAGGCCAGUUUACAAGAGCAAUCCGCGUCGAAUUGAGAUCCUUGGUUUGAUUGAAAAGUGCUAAUUAGUAAUAUUUUAUAAGGAUAUUUGUAGUUUAAGAAAUAUAAAUACAAUAAACAUUUUCAAUUUGAAUAUUUGCGAUGGUAUAGUACUCAAUAUGAUUUUUCUUGUAAAAAAAAACCAUUUUCAGAAUUUCAGAAUUAGAAAAAUAAUUAAAAUAUUGAAUAAUUACUACGUCGCGGAUCAAGGACGCCUUCAAAUUAGACGCUUAUAUAAGCGCUACAACCGCGCCACUACUAAUUUCUAUACAAUAUUUAGAAGCGCACUUGCAGUGCCACAGUCGCGCCACUUUUGCAGACUAGAUAUUGUUUGUUAUUGAAAUCUGUAGCGCUUAACUGCAGUGCUUCUACAAUCGUCUAAUUUGAAGGCGCCUUUAGCCACGGUUUUUAUAUUAUAAAGGCAAUUUUGCUUAAGAUAACUGUCACUUUGAUUGGCGAUUUAAUUGUAUGUUUAAGUGUAAUGAAUAAUAUUUGUAAUAAUGUAUCUAUAUCGGAGAAAUGGUACAAUUUCUUGUGAUCACCGAUUCCAAAACUGGCUAAAAAUCGGGGGUCAGUUGCAACUCGACCUUGUAAGGGAAUCACCGCUUUUUAACGUGGAAUCGGCUUGAGUAGGUCGAAAUAAUUGUAAAGUAACCAUGUAAUAUGAGCGAAGCGAAAAUGUUGCCCGUUUCGCUUCCUCUCGAAGUGCCAACGAAAAGCAAUUAUUUUUUUCGUUUCUGACCAACUUAAUGCGAUUCCCUCUCGAUAAGGGUGCGUUUAUUCUUAUCGUUCUAGGAGUUUCAUAAACAACCACUUUUGUUCUGUGACUUUUUGAAAAACAAUAAAUUUACCAUAUAUGAUAAAAUUUCAUAUUUUUAGAUCAUUCAUUUUUUAGAUCUGUGGUAGUAAGAUAGUAAGUUCAAACGUGCAAGUGAGGUUGUUGUAACAACGGCUGUUCCAGCAGAACUGGACGGCCGUGUGAAUGGGUCGUUACUUGGUCACACGAGCUGCUAUCGAUCCCAGGCCUUGUACUCUCGUUCUUAUUUGGACAUUCUUCCGGAACAAUUAUUGUCAAAUAAGUAUUCGACCCAAUUAAAGAAUGACGCUUCACACUUGACGUUGUUUUUCAAUUUGCUCGAGUAUUUGACGUUUAUUGUUUCGGAC